AUUGAACGCUAGCGGGAUGCUUUACACAUGCAAGUCGAACGGCAGCGCGGACUUCGGUCUGGCGGCGAGUGGCGAACGGGUGAGUAAUGUAUCUGAACGUGCCCAGUAGCGGGGGAUAACUACGCGAAAGCGUAGCUAAUACCGCAUACGCCCUACGGGGGAAAGCAGGGGAUCGUAAGACCUUGCACUAUUUGAGCGGCCGAUAUCGGAUUAGCUAGUUGGUGAGGUAACGGCUCACCAAGGCGACGAUCCGUAGCUGGUAUGAGAGGACGACCAGCCACCCUGUGACUGAGACACGGCCCAGACUCCUACGGGAGGCAGCAGUGGGGAAUUUUGGGCGAUGGAGGCAAGCCUGAUCCAGCAAUCUCGCGUGUGCGAUGAAGGCCUUCGGGUUGUAAAGCACUGUUGGCAGGAAAGAAACGACGCGGGCUAAUCCCCCGUGGAACUGACGGUACCUGCAGAAUAAGCACCGGCUAACUACGUG
rnacentral:rRNA from 1 species